GGAAAUUAAAACUCCUAACUUAACCCAUAUUUACAAUGUCUAGUAACUUAUCAUAUCAGUGUUGUAAAUUGUGUAUUAUUAUUAUUUUAUUAUAUUAUAUUUCAUAGUAUCUUUGAAAAAGAAUUUUCCUGUGUUGGAUUUAGAGAAAGAUCAACACCUGAUUUAUUCAGGUUAAUAUUGACUUGGAUUUUGCUGUUUGGGUCUUGACGACCACAGAUCUAUACAGAGAAUGCCUGCCUGUAUUGUUACGGGAUGUACUCCACGGUGCAGAGAAGGAGAAGAGGAAUUUGCUCUCCAUUCAUUUACAAAAGCAAAGGAUCGCAUAAAGUUAUGGCUGCUAGCCACCGGGCAAGAUUUUGGAAAUAUCGACAAAUUAGUGGAUACUAUAUUCCAAUCAAAAACCAGUGCAUAUCGGCUCUGCUCCUUGCAUUUUUCAACAUCAUGUUACAUUCGGAAUCCUAAAACCGGAAAGAGGAGGCUGUUACCAACAGCUGUACCAAGUAUUUUUACAAGGCAUGCUGCACCAUCGAGCAAGAGGAAAAGAUUAGAUGAGGAUGGUGCAUCAUCUAGUCAAUUUAAUCCUGGAGAAAUGUGUCCAACCUGCAAUCAAGUGGUACCACAUAUAAAUCCAACCCAACCUGAACAAGCAGCCACUCGUUUCAGUACCACAGAUUCAGCUACAAACUUUGACCGUUUCUGGGCAACAUUUAAUGAAGGCAUUCAAGUAACCCCUAAAACAACAUCAAGAAAAAUUCAGUGUUCCCGACUAAUGGACAGAAAAAAGGUUAAUACAAUCCAAAAGUAGGCCACAAUUUGUUUUUGGACCAGUGACUUCUGUACCAGUCCAUGGACCCAAGAUUUAUACAUCUACACCACAAAAAAUGAUACCAACAGGAAAAGGAUCUUUGGCCUGUUCUAGUAAUGCUCCUGAAACGCAUAAAGCAACAGAUCCUCCCAAUUUACAAACAACUUUACUGACAGAAUUAUAAAUAUCACCAA